CUUCUUUUACAUUUUUUCUUUUAUUAAAUGAAUUUUUAAAUACACUAUAUGCUGAUUAUGGCUUCCCCUCUGUCUACUCCUCCCAGGACCUCCACAUGUCAUCUCCCACCCAGACCAACCUCUUUCUGUCUCUCAUUGGAAAACAAACAGGCACCUAAAGGAAUAAUGACAUUGCUGUCACAUAAUUUGUGAUUUAAAAUUGGGUCAUGGAAGCUUGGGUAUGAGAUCUGCUUUCUUGGUGGAAGAAUCCAAGCUAUGCAUUAUUUUGAGUGGAGAUGAGAUGAGAUGAAGGAGGUGAAUAUUAUCCAAGUGUUUCCAUGGAUCGAUUACCUGAAAAAUCUUCCUCAUUGCCAAAGGUUUCACAGAGCUGUUAUAUUUGAAGACGAAUGACUAUGUCUAUAAUUGAGACUGCUAAAGAAUUGGCACCUGUGAUAUAAUGAUGGAAGACAUGGAGAAAGGUCUUCACACAGGUGAUGGAUGCUCCCUGGGAUGCUUGCAAAGAUGGCUUUAUUUGAGAAGAUAGCCUUACGACUUUGCCCCUCAGCAGGCUGACCUUCACAAAUGGGAGGCAUCGCCUUCUCAAGGGCAGCUUCAGUGUCUCCUUCGAAAAAGUAAUUUUCUUUUGUGAGUCACAUGCUGUGUCAUGGUUUAUAACAACAGGAGGAACUGAAAGUUACAGAACCCAGGAGGCAGAAAGGGGCUGUCUGUCUGAGGAAUAGCAAGAACUGGUUUUAUUCUCUGCCACGCUGUGAUGAAAAGGCUUUUUGUAAAAGCUUUUAGUUGGCUUCCUUUUGUCCUAAUCAUGUUCCAGAAUGUAUCUAAUGCAUGUCUUACCUUUGAAAGGAAAAAAAGGAACCAUUUUAAAGAAGAAUUGCCUUCAUUUAAACAGAUUUUAUCUGACUUGGGGUUGGAGACAUGACCUCCUUGUGACGUUCACAAGUCCUCACCAAACUACAGGGACAUAGAAUACUCUGCUUGCAAAUUGAGAAGGAUUCCAUCAUGAAAGGGGGUGGAUCUGAGUUUUCUACAUGAAGGUGAAAUGGAAUGGUUUCCCAAUCUAGGGAGAAAACAUGGACAAAGGCACAAAGGCACAAAAGUGUUCUCAUAAUUCUCUGUGUAGUUUUGUCUUUUUGUAGGUACUCAUCACCUCCCCUGCCCCCGACAGUAUGACAAAUGCUGCUUAUAUUUCUAGAGUUUUGCAAUUUACCUAAAACAUAUGUUUAGACCAUACAUGCAAAAUAUCAACAGAACAGUGCAAUUUCAACUGCAUUCUUUCAUUUAUAAAGCAUCACUGAGUGUUUGGAAGUGUAACAGCUGUACCCUAGUUGGGUGAUACAACAAUGAGUAAAACUGGGGGAAAAAUCACUUUCCUCAUUCUU